rnacentral:rRNA from 1 species
GAUGAACGCUAGCGGCAGGCCUAACACAUGCAAGUCGAGGGGUAGAGCACUUCGGUGUUUGAGACCGGCGAACGGGUGCGUAACGCGUAUGCAAUAUGCCUUACACUAAGGGAUAGCUCCGAGAAAUUUGGAUUAAUACCUUAUAGUAAAUUGAUGUGGCAUCAUAUUAUUAUUAAAGAUUUAUCGGUGUAAGAUGAGCAUGCGUCCCAUGAGCUAGUGGGUAUGGUAACGGCAUACCAAGGAAAUGAUGGGUAGGGGUUCUGAGAGGGAGAUCCCACACACUGGUACUGAGACACAGACCAGACUCCUACGGGAGGCAGCAGUGAGGAAUAUUGGACAAUGGGCGCAAGCCUGAUCCAGCCAUGCCGCGUACAGGAUGAAGCAUCUAUGGUGUGUAAACUGCUUUUGUACAGCAAGAAACACCUCUUCGUGAAGAGGCUUGACGGUACCGUAAGAAUAAGGACCGGCUAACUCCGUGCCAGCCGCCGCUGUAACAC